rnacentral:rRNA from 1 species
UACGUAGGGUGCAAGCGUUGUCCGGAAUUAUUGGGCGUAAAGAGCUCGUAGGCGGUUUGUUGCGUCGGCUGUGAAAUCCCGAGGCUCAACCUCGGGUCUGCAGUCGAUACGAGCAAACUAGAGUGUUUGCAGGGGGAGACUGGAAUUCCUGGUGUAGCGGUGAAAUGCGCAGAUAUCAGGAGGAACACCGGUGGCGAAGGCGGGUCUCUGGGCAACAACUGACGCUGAGGAGCGAAAGCGUGGGGAGCGAACAGG